rnacentral:rRNA from 1 species
CAGCAGCCGCGGGAAUACGUAGGGUGCGAGCGUUAAUCGGAAUUACUGGGCGUAAAGGGAGCGUAGGCGGAUCGUUAAGUUGGGGGUGAAAGCCCGGGGCUCAACCUCGGAACUGCCUUCAAUACUGGCGAUCUUGAGUAUGAGAGAGGUGUGUGGAACUCCGAGUGUAGAGGUGAAAUUCGUAGAUAUUCGGAAGAACACCAGUGGCGAAGGCGACACACUGGCUCAUUACUGACGCUGAGGCGCGAAAGCGUGGGGAGCAAACAGGAUUAGAUACCCCUGUAGUCCCUGUCUCUUAUAC